rnacentral:piRNA from 1 species
UCUAUAGAGUUCCUAUACAGGGUUCCU